UUGGAGGGCAAGUCUGGUGCCAGCAGCCGCGGUAAUUCCAGCUCCAAUAGCGUAUAUUAAAGUUGUUGCAGUUAAAAAGCUCGUAGUUGAAUUUCGAGAUCAGUACGCUGGUCGUGCCUUCGGUAUGCACUGGUGUCACUGAUUUCUCCCUUCUGAAGAACCGUAAUGCCAUUCAGUUGGUGUGGCGGGGAAUCAGGAUUGUUACUUUGAAAAAAUUAGAGUGUUUAAAGCAGGCUCGCGCUUGAAUACAUUAGCAUGGAAUAAUGAAAUAGGACGUUUGAUCCUAUUUUGUUGGUUUCUAGGAUCGACGUAAUGAUUAAUAGGGAUAGUUGGGGGCAUUAGUAUUCAAUUGUCAGAGGUGAAAUUCUUGGAUUUAUUGAAGACUAACUACUGCGAAAGCAUUUGCCAAGGAUGUUUUCAUUAAUCAAGAACGAAAGUUAGGGGAUCGAAGACGAUCAGAUACCGUCGUAGUCUUAACCAUAAACUAUGCCGACUAGGGAUCGGAUGAUGUUAAUUUUUUAAUGACUCAUUCGGCGCCUUACGGGAAAC
rnacentral:rRNA from 1 species